CCUACGGGUGGCUGCAGUGGGGAAUAUUGGACAAUGGGCGAAAGCCUGAUCCAGCCAUGCCGCGUGUGUGAAGAAGGCCUUCGGGUUGUAAAGCACUUUCAGUGGGGAAGAAAGCCUUGGGGCUAAUACCCUCGAGGAAGGACAUCACUCACAGAAGAAGCACCGGCUAACUCCGUGCCAGCAGCCGCGGUAAUACGGAGGGUGCGAGCGUUAAUCGGAAUUACUGGGCGUAAAGCGCGCGUAGGCGGUCUGAUAAGCCGGUUGUGAAAGCCCCGGGCUCAACCUGGGAACGGCAUCCGGAACUGUCAGGCUAGAGUGCAGGAGAGGAAGGUAGAAUUCCCGGUGUAGCGGUGAAAUGCGUAGAGAUCGGGAGGAAUACCAGUGGCGAAGGCGGCCUUCUGGACUGACACUGACGCUGAGGUGCGAAAGCGUGGGUAGCAAACAGGAUUAGAUACCCGUGUAGUC
rnacentral:rRNA from 1 species